UUUCAACUCUCUCUCUCUCUCAUGUGCUUGAACUAACCUUCAAUUCCGAUCAAAUCGAAGAUGAAGCAAACGUUUGAACAUGGCCGCAAGCUAAAUGUGCGAUUCCGAUCACUGGUGAAUUCUCAAACCUUCAAUUCCGUAUUCGAUUUCAUCUUCGAUUUUGUAUUUUUUUUUUUUCAUCUUUGAUUUCGUAUUUGAUUUCAUCUAUGAUUUUUUAUUCGAUUUCAUCUUCAAUUCCAUAUUUGAAUUCAUCUUUUCAUAUUCAAUUCCAUCUUCCAUUUCAUAUUUGAUUUGAUCUUCGAUUAUGUAUUUGUUUUUAUUUUUCGUUUCACAUCUCCAUUAGCUAUCUUUGUUGAAGGUAUUUCCAUUGUUCUAAUGCCUUGCUUUUUUUUUUCUUUCACUUUUGUUUUUCCCGUUGUAAAAAUGGUUGAGAUGAAGUGUGAGUUUUGUGUUGUGUUGGUUAUUGUUUUCAUUUUGCUUUUGUUUUGAUUCAUGGUAGAAUGCUUGUUUUGUGUUCGAUAAAAUGCUUCAACUAAACUUUAUGACACAAUGCUUGUUUUGUGUUUGAUAAAAUGCCUCAAUCAACCUUUAUGGUACAAUGCUUGAUUUUUGUUUGAUAAAAUGCUUGAACCAAAUUUUUUUUACUUCUCGAAUAUUUGUAAUGUGAUUCUCCAGCAUCUAUGCUCUUUAAAUGUGUUUCAAUUCUGCAAAACGAACGGAAUUGUUUGUUCGGAAUGCAUUAAUUUUUAUCUUAGAGUGGGGAUGCUAGGUAUGCAGGGCAUGGCAACAAAUUUGUGAUGUUAGUGGGGCUGAGUUUGACAAGGUUAUCAAUGUAUUGGAGUUCAAUUGGAGGAAAUAGUAAGGGGUCUAGUUUCCUAUUUUUCAUUAUUUGUGGAUUUUAUCCAUGAUGCAUUUAAAAUUUUAUAUCUAGAACGUAAAUGAGCAAGACUACGGCCAUGAAGUAGCUGACAUCAUAAGCAAUGUUUCCUACACCGCAAACUGUCUUGCUCCCUGUGUGAAGAUCCUGGAUGAAAAAUUCGAAUCGUCCUUUGCAUUAAAUUGUUGCGCAAUACUGGUGAUGAGAUAAGGAAGGGAUGUCUGCAAUCUUGCAGGCAGAACAUUAUGAAGAUGAUUGCGGAUAAGCAACGCCACAAGACAAAGGAGAUUAAAGAGAAGGCUUGCAUUUCUCAUGUGCAGCUUGAUGACCUUAAAGAGAAGGGGGGAAAUUGUGUUGGAUGAAAACUUGUAAUCAUUUUUGUAUGUAAUUCAAAUUGUGUUGCAUAGUUUAUUUUCGUUAUGCAAUAAUAAGAACAGUGAAGGGCGGGAAUUUUAUAGAGUAUGUAAUUCAAAGUAGUUAUUAAAACUUGUAUUUAAUAUUGGUUAAUUCAAAUAUGAAUGAAGUCUAAGCAAAGACAAAUUUGAUAAAUUAAAAAAAAAAAUAGUUUAGACAAUU
rnacentral:lncRNA from 1 species